rnacentral:lncRNA from 7 species
CUUCACUCUUUGAUAGCCCUCAGGCAUGAUCAAAUAGUGUCAUAGCAUAUCUUAAAAUUGGUAGCUAUGCUUUGAUGACAGAGAAACUUGCAUGCAAGGGAGGAAAACUUCUCUUCAAGGCAAAAGUUGGACUUAAAACAACAAAGAAGUAGGUGGACACCCAUCUCCCUAUGUACAUACAGUAUCUUGCUUCUCGUAAUUGUGGAGACUGAUGACAAAUUACCAGCCUUUCUUUCUUAUCAGAUGUGAUUACACAAGGAAUUUCAUAAUAAGUUUUUCAGAAUUUCAGAACAUUUGCUCACAGUGCCUAUCCUGGAGAGUGGUAGACUUUGAUGCUCCUUUCAGGAUUCCCGUGGUGGAUACCUGCUUCAUCAAAGUCCUGCAGAAAAAUCUAAGAAAUUGGACAUGCUCAAGUACAGAGUUAACCGGAUGGAAGUUGAUACCUCCAUAGGAAGUGGGUAGUACUGGUCAUUUCAAAAAUUAAGAGAACUGAACGUUAAGUCCUGUAUCUGUGUCUUAACCACAAGGCUGAGAAGUCGCCUGCUCUGGUGGUUAAAGCUGGCAUAUCUAUGCUGUUGACAACAAAAGCCUCAUUGUGUAAAAAUAAAAGCAGGUAAGAAAAGACCUGAUCUAGGAGCUGAAGUACACUGUGAGAGAGAUACAAUUGUUGGUUAGGAUUAAGUAUGCAUUUAUUUUAGUCCAUUCCUGAAUACAAGCAAAAUCAGUACUGGAAGAAGGGGCUACAGCCCCAACAUUUUGCAGUACCUAUAUCUAAAAUAAGCAUUUGAGUUAGAUGGAAUAAUUUCCAUCAUUGUUGGUUUCUUAACAACUAUGCUAUCUAAAGUAUUAAACAACUGUUAUAAAUACAUAUGUAUAUAAAUAAACAUAUAUUUAUAUAAAGUAGAGUUUUUUUUCACAAGUAUCACCUGCUAAACCAUUAAAGUUCUCCUGGUUUAUUCAGUGAAAAAUCUAGCUCCUUUGGGCUUUAUAUUACUACAUGUACUCCAUAUUUUUUUGAUAAAACACUUGCUAGAAAUUUGUGGUUUGCUUUUACUUCUAAACUAUAUUAUUAGUUACUUGUACUACUUGGUGAUGCUUCAUUUUGGCUGUCAGAUUGCUGCAUCACUUACUUCUGUGGUUAAUUUUUACUAAAAGAAACCAUCAAUUGCUCCCCAAAGUUGUUUAAAUUCAUAUACCUGAAUUAUCAAGAAAUACAGUCCAAAUAUCACAGAAUUUCCCAAAUUCUCUCUCUUCAAAUGCUGUGUCCUGCAGUUCCUUUCAUGCUGUUCCAAGAAAGUGACUCGAGAGUCUUUAUUAAUCAUGAAAUAUGCUAAUUUAGUGACUGAACUAAAAAUGUGUUUUUCUCUUCUCCCCAUAGCUUGAAGGAAAUAUCCCUGCCAAGUCACUAUCUCUAACACUGAUCUUGUACUAGUAGUGUACAUGUAACCUGUUCAUGACUGAAUCUUUAAAGCCUGGCCAAAUGGUGUUUUUUACAUGUCAGUGUCGAUCUAAUUACAUUUUCAAUAGACUGCAUCUUUAAUUGCAUGAAUAAUUGUGGUAAUUUAAGAUUAAAUACUGAUUUC